AGUUUGAUUAUAGCUCAGAUUGAACGCUGGCGGAUGCCUGCACAUGCAAGUCGAACGGCAGCACGGACUUCGGUCUGGUGGCGAGUAGCGAACGGGUGAGUAAUGUAUCGGAACGUCGUGCCUAGUAGCGGGGAUAACUACAUGGCAGCCAGCUAAUACCGCAUACGCCCUUCGGGGAAAAGCGGGGACCUUCGGGCCUCGCACUAUUAGAAGCAACCGAUAUCGGAUUAGCUAGUUGGUGGGGUAACGGCUCGCAAGGCGACGAUCCGUAGCUGGUUUGAGGAACGACCAGCCACCUCUGGGACUGAGACACGGCUUCCCAGACUCCUACGGGAGGCAGCGGUGGGGAAUUUUGGACAAUGGGGAAAACCCUGAUCCAGCCAUCCCGCGUGUGCGAUGAAGGCCUUCGGGUUAUAAAACGCUUUGGCAGGAAAGAAACGGCACGGGAUAUGCCCGUGCAACUGACUGAGCAGAAUAAGCACCGGCUAACUUCUACGUGCCAGCAGCCGCGGUAAUACGUAGGGUGCCAGCGUUAAUCGAUUACUAUGGGCGUAAAGCGUGCGCGGGCGGUUCGGAAAGAAAGAUGUGAAAUCCCAGAGCUUAACUUUGGAACUGCAUUUUUAACUACCGAGCUAGAGUGUGUCAGAGGUGGGAAUUCCACGUGUAGCAGUGAAGGUAGUAGAUAUACGGAGGGAACACCGAUGGCGAAAUGACCUCCUGGGAUAACACUGACGCUCAUGCACGAAAGCGUGGGAGCAAACGGGAUUAGAUACCCUGGUAGUCCACGCCCUAAACGAUGUCAACUAGCUGUUGGGGCCUUCGGGCCUUGGUGACGCAAUAACGCGUGAAGUUGACCGCCUGGGAAGUACAGUCACGCAGAUUAAAACUCAAAGGAAUUAAUAGGGACCGCACAAGCGGUGGAUGAUGUGGAUUAAUUCGAUGCAACGCGAAAAACCUUACCUACGCGACAUGUCUGGAAUCCCGAAGAGACGAGUGCUCGCAAGAGAACCGGAACACAGGUGCUGCAUGGCUGUCGUCGAAAUGUGUCGUGAGAUGUUGGGUUAGAGAUCCCGCAACGAGCGCAACCCUUGUCAUGGUUACUCGAAGAGGCACUCUAAUGAGACUGCCAGUGAAGCAAACCGGAGGAAGGUGGGGAUGACGUCAAGGUCCUCAUGGCCCUUAUGGGUAGGGCUUCACACGUCAUACAAUGGUCAGGACAAGAGGGUCGUCAACCCGCGAGGGGGAGCCAAUCCCAGAAACCCGAUCUGUGAUCGGAUCAUGAUCUGCAACUCGACUGCGUGAAGUCGGAAUCGCUGGUAAUCGCGGAUCAGCAUGUCGCGGUGAAUACGUUCCCGGGUCUUACACCGCCCGUCACACCAUGGGAGUGGGUUUUACCAGAAGUAGUUAGCCUAACCGUAAGGAGAGGCGAUUACCACGGUAGGAUUCAUGACUGGGUGAAGUCGUAACAAGGUAG
rnacentral:rRNA from 1 species